AGCCUGUGAUGCAUAGAAAAUGUGUCCGUACAAUCUAAUGAUUUCUAUAUCUUGAUGCAUUGAAAUAUUUUUUGAGGCCU